rnacentral:tRNA from 1 species
GUGGGUGUAGCUCAGCUUGGUAGAGCGCCGGAUUGUGGAUCCGGUGGUCGAGGGUUCGAAUCCCUCCACCCACCCCA